rnacentral:rRNA from 1 species
GAUGAACGCUGGCGGCGUGCUUAACACAUGCAAGUCGAGCGGAAAGGCCCUGCUUUUGUGGGGUGCUCGAGUGGCGAACGGGUGAGUAACACGUGAGUAACCUGCCCUUGACUUUGGGAUAACUUCAGGAAACUGGGGCUAAUACCGGAUAGGAGCUCCUGCUGCAUGGUGGGGGUUGGAAAGUUUCGGCGGUUGGGGAUGGACUCGCGGCUUAUCAGCUUGCUGGUGGGGUAGUGGCUUACCAAGGCUUUGACGGGUAGCCGGCCUGAGAGGGUGACCGGCCACAUUGGGACUGAGAUACGGCCCAGACUCCUACGGGAGGCAGCAGUGGGGAAUAUUGCACAAUGGGCGGAAGCCUGAUGCAGCAACGCCGCGUGCGGGAUGACGGCCUUCGGGUUGUAAACCGCUUUCGCCUGUGACGAAGCGUGAGUGACGGUAAUGGGUAAAGAAGCACCGGCUAACUACGUG